GGGAUUUAUUAUUGCCCAAGAAAUCUCCGAACAUAUUCAGAAUUUUAGAGAGCAGCAAGUAAGACAGCAGAUUGCAAUGGACACCAUUACAUUAUUGCUUUGCCGACUGAUGUCAGAGCUUUAAAGAAUAAAUGAAAAAAAAAAUGUUCUAUAGCUCACUAAACCGCUGGCUUAUAAUGAACAGUUUGCACAACACUUAUAAAU